CUUAGCUCAGUUGGUAGAGUGGUGGACUGUAGUUGGACUAAUCUAAAUUGGAAAUCCUUAAGUCGCUGGUUUGAUUCCGGCAG
rfam:Ipomoea nil DNA, scaffold: scaffold3317, cultivar: Tokyo-kokei standard.